UACGGAGGGUGCGAGCGUUGUCCGGAAUCACUGGGCGUAAAGGGCGCGUAGGCGGCGCGGGGAAGUCCGUGGUGAAAGCCCGAGGCUCAACUUCGGGUCGGCCAUGGGAUACUCCUGGGCUCGAGCACUGUAGGGGCAGGUGGGAAUUCCGGGUGUAGCGGUGGAAUGCGUAGAGAUCCGGAAGAACACCGGUGGCGAAGGCGGCCUGCUGGGCAGUAGCUGACGCUGAGGCGCGACAGCGUGGGGAGCAAACAGG
rnacentral:rRNA from 1 species